UGUGCCAUUGGUCAUGGUAGGGAAAUACUGCAGCCUGAAAGGAUCCCUUCUCCUCCUUUACUGCUUCUAAGAUACCUACUGCUUUAGAACUCUACCAGGAGCAGAGUUGGGGAGCUUCAGCUUCUGGAGGGGUUUUUAUUGAGACAGAAAGAUACAAAAGGAUUCAGAGAAACUAGCUGGCUCCAGAAAAGUAGUCGAUUAAUUCCGAUACAGUCCUAGAUUACUUGUACCCCCCAGGGUUGGUUGUAUUUUCUGAGUUAGGUAGCACAGUGCUUGCCUCCCUUUCCCGAGAAGAUACUGUCUAGCCAGGGCCCAGAUGGGCUGGGAGGUCUUGCAAAGGG
rnacentral:lncRNA from 1 species